CACUAAUUCACCUCCAUCAAAAAGUAUUAGUGAUAGGGGGUGUGUAAACGGUGAAACUAAAAAGAUGAAAAACUGAACUCAUGUAUAAUGUUAACUAAACCGAAUUGAGAGAGAAAUAAAAUUAAACCGAACCAACAAAACGGUUCGGUUUGAAAUUUUCAGCUUUGUAUAAUGCCAAACUCUACCAUUCUCAGUUAAAUGAUGCUGUUUACCACCUAUUCCCAAUCCCAAAUCCCCAGCACCCAUUUAUCGACUCAUUGUUGAACUUAGAACAAAUUCAAUCAAUUCCAGUAUCCCACAGUAAUAAAUUCAAUCAAUUACAGAUUUGAAGAAAAAUAUUGCAAAAAAAUUCUCAAAAUUUCAAAGACAAGAGAGACCUUGAAGGUUGAAGCUACAGCAGCAUGACAUCAACUGGAAAACAAAGCCUGAGAUUGAACAAUGAAGUGCAAAACCGGCAUGCAUUUGAAGAUCACAAGCCAUGUGUCUCUGGCAGUGUCGAGGUGAGCAUCAAUAUUCUGUGCGGCAACUGUCGGUGCUAUAGAAUGGUGCAAUGCAUCGAUGCUCUAGAGUCUAAGGUGAGACGUGAGAGACAGAGGUGAGACAUGGUCAUGCAGCCGGUGGAUUGAAUCAUGGAGGUAAGAGCUGUGGUGUGUGGUCUGAGACUCUGCACUAAUCCCAUCUAGAAAGACACCAAAAUUCAUCUUCCCAGAUCAUGAUUCUAUUCCGAUUCUCCAGAACCAGAGAGACCAAGUUUCUCCAUCUCGAGGCGUUCGAGGGCUUUCUCGUGCGCCCAGGUCUCGAUGGACAGAUCGGGCUUGGCAUUCAACCCAACACCAAGGAUCACAAUGGUCAGGAAGCUGGUGAUGUAGCAAGGGAGCUCCCAGUCCUCCCACUUGCGGGACUGCCCAGGUGGCGGUGGGGUCCGGUUAAAUAGGUAACCCUUGGGCCUCUCCUCGUGGCCUGGAGAAGUCCACCGGCUGGAACCCGCCGCAGCGCCUCCGCGUGUGCGGAGAGAGGAUGCUAAGCGCUGGCGGAGCAUGGUAGACGCCGUCGUGAAGGGUUGUGGAGAGGGCAUGGUUUUUGCCUGCAGAUUGGCAAGGAGUCCAGAAAGGGCGGAGGUUUUGCGGAGACUGAGCUUU
rnacentral:misc_RNA from 1 species